rnacentral:piRNA from 1 species
UAUCAUACAUCACUGUGAGAGGCUACUGA